rnacentral:rRNA from 1 species
GAUGAACGCUGGCGGCGUGCCUAAUACAUGCAAGUCGAGCGAACGGACGAGAAGCUUGCUUCUCUGAUGUUAGCGGCGGACGGGUGAGUAACACGUGGAUAACCUACCUAUAAGACUGGGAUAACUUCGGGAAACCGGAGCUAAUACCGGAUAAUAUUUUGAACCGCAUGGUUCAAAAGUGAAAGACGGUCUUGCUGUCACUUAUAGAUGGAUCCGCGCUGCAUUAGUUAGCUGGUAAGGUAACGGCUUACCAAGGCAACGAUGCAUAGCCGACCUGAGAGGGUGAUCGGCCACACUGGAACUGAGACACGGUCCAGACUCCUACGGGAGGCAGCAGUAGGGAAUCUUCCGCAAUGGGCGAAAGCCUGACGGAGCAACGCCGCGUGAGUGAUGAAGGUCUUCGGAUCGUAAAACUCUGUUAUUAGGGAAGAACAUAUGUGUAAGUAACUGUGCACAUCUUGACGGUACCUAAUCAGAAAGCCACGGCUAACUACGUG